CCUACGGGAGGCAGCAGUAGGGAAUCUUCCGCAAUGGACGAAAGUCUGACGGAGCAACGCCGCGUGAGCGAUGAAGGCCUUCGGGUCGUAAAGCUCUGUUGUCAGGGAAGAACAAGUAUCGGAGUAACUGCCGGUACCUUGACGGUACCUGACCAGAAAGCCACGGCUAACUACGUGCCAGCAGCCGCGGUAAUACGUAGGUGGCAAGCGUUGUCCGGAAUUAUUGGGCGUAAAGCGCGCGCAGGCGGUUCCUUAAGUCUGAUGUGAAAGCCCCCGGCUCAACCGGGGAGGGUCAUUGGAAACUGGGGAACUUGAGUGCAGAAGAGGAGAGCGGAAUUCCACGUGUAGCGGUGAAAUGCGUAGAGAUGUGGAGGAACACCAGUGGCGAAGGCGGCUCUCUGGUCUGUAACUGACGCUGAGGCGCGAAAGCGUGGGGAGCGGACAGGAUUAGAUACCCUGGUAGUCCACGCCGUAAACGAUGAGUGCUGAGUGUUAGAGGGUUUCCGCCCUUUAGUGCUGCAGCAAACGCAUUAAGCACUCCGCCUGGGGAGUACGGCCGCAAGGCUGAAACUCAAAGGAAUUGACGG
rnacentral:rRNA from 1 species